rnacentral:rRNA from 1 species
GGGGAAUUUUGGACAAUGGGCGCAAGCCUGAUCCAGCCAUGCCGCGUGCGGGAAGAAGGCCUUCGGGUUGUAAACCGCUUUUGUCAGGGAAGAAAUCUUCUGGGCUAAUACCUCGGGAGGAUGACGGUACCUGAAGAAUAAGCACCGGCUAACUACGUGCCAGCAGCCGCGGUAAUACGUAGGGUGCGAGCGUUAAUCGGAAUUACUGGGCGUAAAGCGUGCGCAGGCGGUUGUGUAAGACAGAUGUGAAAUCCCCGGGCUCAACCUGGGAACUGCAUUUGUGACUGCACAGCUAGAGUACGGUAGAGGGGGAUGGAAUUCCGCGUGUAGCAGUGAAAUGCGUAGAUAUGCGGAGGAACACCGAUGGCGAAGGCAGUCCCCUGGACCUGUACUGACGCUCAUGCACGAAAGCGUGGGGAGCAAAC